UGCUUGAAAUUGUCGGGA
rnacentral:snRNA from 1 species